UACGGAGGGGGCUAGCGUUGUUCGGAAUUACUGGGCGUAAAGCGCACGUAGGCGGCUUUGUAAGUUAGAGGUGAAAGCCCGGGGCUCAACUCCGGAAUUGCCUUUAAGACUGCAUCGCUAGAAUCAUGGAGAGGUGAGUGGAAUUCCGAGUGUAGAGGUGAAAUUCGUAGAUAUUCGGAAGAACACCAGGUGGCGAAGGCGACUCACUGGACAUGUAUUGACGCUGAGGUGCGAAAGCGUGGGGAGCAAACAGG
rnacentral:rRNA from 1 species